UUGUUAUAUUUUUCAUAUUGGAAUGUUUUGGAUGAAUUUGCAAGUCCUGAUGUUUGUGUGACAGGAGAAAAUAAUGUGUACACUUAGUAAAAUCUAUUCAAGCCGAAGAAUUUAGUGUCUAUGUAGGUCUUCAUGAGGACCUUAUUGUCAGCUCCACAGUCUAUUCUUUCUAGUUUUUGGAAGUAACACAGCUGGAGUUCAUGACUAGAUACUCUUGGAAACAUAUGUUAAGAAUCUGAUUCUCAUUGCAAAAUCUGUUGAAGAGUAGCAUGAAGAGUUUCAAAUGAGGAAGAAUGGUCUAGAGUUCAAAGACCUAAGAUUCAAUAUGGCAAAGGUCAACAUUCUAAUUAAUAGUGGAGAGUACAAAAUAAGGAAAGUGGCCUUGUUUGAUAUGUGUGUGUGUGUGUGUGGUGUGUGUGUGUGUGUGGUAGUGGUGGCAAACUGAGAAUGAAUGCUUCCCUGCAUUUGGUGAAGAAAUACAGUCUUUAUUUGCGGAUUAAUAAUGCUGUGAACAUGGAGAUAGAUUUGGUGGAACACAUGUAAAUUGUAAAUUUUUCUGCAUGAAAUCAAUGAUGUCAUUGUUAAUCUACAAAUAAAGAAUAUAUAGAUAGAUAGAGGGAUAGACACACACACACACACAAUGCACGCACACACGCGCAUGCACACACACACACACACACACCACACACACACACACACACACACACACACACACACACACACUUGAUCUAUAUGCUUAAUGCAAAAGAACUCUGGCUUAUUAACAGGGAACCAGGAUUAAUUAGCAAUAGGGACAAUGAAAUCAAAUAAUCAAAUUAUUGUUCAUAUUGAUUUCUAGAAAUAAUAGUUAGUUUCUGUUACUUAGGUGACAUUAUUAGUAGUGGAGGGGAAUGUAAUGAAAGGAUAGUAAGAGGGAGAUAUAGUUAAAAACAAAAAUUACUGAUAGCGGAGUUUUCCUUGUGCAAAAGAUAGACUGUGUGAAUCAUAUGUAAGAAACGUGAAUGUUCCAUAGUAGUGGGACUUUGGCACUGACUAUGAAGGACUUGCAGAGGUUAAAGAGAUGGGAAUCAUCAGAUAUGAUCUACUGAGUGUACUCUGUUAACUUAUAUGAAGGAGAAGAGCACAAGUGAUCUGAGAGCGUAGAAGCAUAUUUAAAACAUUGACUGGUGUAUGCAGAAGAGACACCUGCAUUGGUAGAGACAUCUAAUGUGAAUGGGUGAUGAAUGUUGGAUA